CCUACGGGGCGCAGCAGUGAGGAAUAUUGGUCAAUGGACGAGAGUCUGAACCAGCCAAGUAGCGUGAAGGAUGACUGCCCUAUGGGUUGUAAACUUCUUUUAUAUGGGAAUAAAAUGUUCCACGUGUGGGAUUUUGUAUGUACCCUAUGAAUAAGGAUCGGCUAACUCCGUGCCAGCAGCCGCGGUAAUACGGAGGAUCCGAGCGUUAUCCGGAUUUAUUGGGUUUAAAGGGAGCGUAGGUGGAUGGUUAAGUCAGUUGUGAAAGUUUGCGGCUCAACCGUAAAAUUGCAGUUGAAACUGGCAGUCUUGAGUACAGUAGAGGUGGGCGGAAUGCGUGGUGUAGCGGUGAAAUGCUUAGAUAUCACGAAGAACUCCGAUUGCGAAGGCAGUUCACUGGACUGCAACUGACACUGAGGCUCGAAAGUGUGGGUAUCAAACAGGAUUAGAUACCCUAGUAGUC
rnacentral:rRNA from 1 species